rnacentral:rRNA from 1 species
UGGGGAAUUUUGGACGAAUUGGGGGCAACCCGUGAUCCAGCCAUCCCGCGUGUGCGAUGAAGGCCUUCGGGUUGUAAAGCACUUUUGGCAGGGAAGAAACAGCCUGGGAUAAUACCCGGGCGGACUGACGGUACCUGCAGAAUAAGCACCGGCUAACUACGUGCCAGCAGCCGCGGUAAUACGUAGGGUGCAAGCGUUAAUCGGAAUUACUGGGCGUAAAGCGUGCGCAGGCGGUUCGGAAAGAAAGGUGUGAAAUCCCAGGGCUUAACCUUGGAACUGCACUUUUAACUACCGAGCUAGAGUACGUCAGAGGGGGGUAGAAUUCCACGUGUAGCAGUGAAAUGCGUAGAGAUGUGGAGGAAUACCGAUGGCGAAGGCAGCCCCCUGGGAUGAUACUGACGCUCAUGCACGAAAGCGUGGGGAGCAAACAGGAUUAGAUACCCCUGGUAGUCCACGCCUAAACGAUGUCAACUAGCUGUUGGGGUUUAUUAACCUUAGUAGCGCAGCUAACGCGUGAAGUUGACCGCCUGGGGAGUACGGUCGCAAGAUUAAACUCAAAGUGAAUUGACGGGGGUCAUAGCUG